rnacentral:rRNA from 1 species
GACGAACGCUGGCGGCGUGCUUAACACAUGCAAGUCGAACGGAAAGGCCCUGCUUUUGUGGGGUGCUCGAGUGGUGAACGGGUGAGUAACACGUGAGUAACCUGCCCUUGACUUUGGGAUAACUUCAGGAAACUGGGGCUAAUACCGGAUAGGAGCUCCUGCUGCAUGGUGGGGGUUGGAAAGUUUCGGCGGUUGGGGAUGGACUCGCGGCUUAUCAGCUUGUUGGUGGGGUAGUGGCUUACCAAGGCUUUGACGGGUAGCCGGCCUGAGAGGGUGACCGGCCACAUUGGGACUGAGAUACGGCCCAGACUCCUACGGGAGGCAGAAGUGGGGAAUAUUGCACAAUGGGCGGAAGCCUGAUGCAGCAACGCCGCGUGCGGGAUGACGGCCUUCGGGUUGUAAACCGCUUUCGCCUGUGACGAAGCGUGAGUGACGGUAAUGGGUAAAGAAGCACCGGCUAACUACGUG